GAGACUGUAGUUGUGGCCAGCAGACCUGGUCUAGCCGGUCUCGGCGCCCUCGCCCAUAUUGUUCUCGCUUUCUCCUACUAUCCCUUACCUUCAUCAGUCAGCCCACUCCAUGUUGCCAAGGCGUUAGUGCCCUGGGAGGCGGGGAGACCUUGGUAGUGAUUACCAGUAUGUUCACGAGAUAAGGUCCAGAAGGUAAAUAUAUGAUGAUACACAUGCUUUUGUUUGGUUGUGGAGUUUUCCAGCAACAUAUCCUCCAUCAUUCUCAAGCAAGAACUAUUGGAAUUCCAUAGAUCUGCAAUACCUCUAUAUAUUUGAAGACAGAAUUUCUCCGUUGAUGUGCACAAAAAGUGUUCCCGGCAUCUGAGAGUUACUUCUAUAUUCUUCAAACUUGCAGCAUGAAUGGAAUCAACUAUAGAAAUUGGAUGGAGGAUCUGUCAGCUAUUGAAGCUCCCUGUCUCUUCACAAAAAAAAUGUCUUGGUGCCAUGAAAGCAGAGGGAGAAUUAAGGAUACGUAUUUAUGAAGUGAUCCAACAUGGUAAUGUAAUUAGUGAUUGCUUAGACAGAGAAAGAUCUAUUUACAUCUUUACUGUUUGACAACAGAGUAAGUGCUUAUUUACUUGUACUUAUGAAUCAAAUGCCCCUCCAGUUAUUCAUCUACACGGUUGAUGCAUUCGUUA